CAUUACCGAGUGAGGGCCCUCUGGGUCCAACCUCCCACCCAUGUUUAUUGUACCUUGUUGCUUCGGCGGGCCCGCCUCACGGCCGCCGGGGGGCUUCUGCCCUCUGGCCCGCGCCCGCCGAAGACACCAUUGAACACUGUCUGAAGAUUGCAGUCUGAGCAAUUAGCUAAAUAAGUUAAAACUUUCAACAACGGAUCUCUUGGUUCCGGCAUCGAUGAAGAACGCAGCGAAAUGCGAUACGUAAUGUGAAUUGCAGAAUUCAGUGAAUCAUCGAGUCUUUGAACGCACAUUGCGCCCCUUGGUAUUCCGGGGGGCAUGCCUGUCCGAGCGUCAUUGCUGCCCUCAAGCACGGCUUGUGUGUUGGGCCCCGUCCUCCUUCCCGGGGGACGGGCCCGAAAGGCAGCGGCGGCACCGCGUCCGGUCCUCGAGCGUAUGGGGCUUUGUCACCCGCUCUUGUAGGCCCGGCCGGCGCUUGCCGACAACCAUCAAUCUUUUUUCAGGUUGACCUCGGAUCAGGUAGGGAUACCCGCUGAACUUAAGCAUAUCAAUAAG
rnacentral:rRNA from 1 species